rnacentral:lncRNA from 1 species
GCUGAGUUCACAGCUGGAACAACAAGUUGUGCUGUGAAUCUCCGUGAUUUACCCAAGUAGCAAACAGGGUCAUCGGCUUAGUUGGAAUUUCAGUUGCCAAGCGAACUAGGAAUCGCUUCGCGUUGGUCCAGCAACACCGAUAAAAGUGUUUGUUUCUUGGUAGAGAAUGAAAAUGACGCAGAGCGUAACUGAUCGACAGAGCAUCGAUCACUUUCCUCUCCCUUUCCCCCGGGUCGGUGCCAGAGAGUCUAGGGCUCACUUCUAGACGCCCAGGGGCCACCAGGAUCUCCAUUUUCCCCAAACGCACGAAAGGCUAAAAACAGCCUUCCUCCCCGGCACCGCGGCGUGGCCGCAGCCGCUUUGUUUACCAUAUAAGUCACCUCGGGGGUUCACUGCUCGCCUUCUCCCCCGUUUUCAAGCUGGGUGCCGCGAGAGGCUGAGGAGCAUCCCCAAACUCCCGCGCGGCCCGGCUCAGCCGCAGGAAGCCGCACAACCGCGGUCUGGAGCCCUCAGGAGAAACCCUGCGGCCGGAGCCUUUGAACUCCUGACCCCCGGGGAUGCCCGCCUCCCGGGAGGGAGCCGGCUUCCCGGGCACUGGAGAAACUUCACCGGGAUCCCAGAGAGAAGCGACGUGCAGCCGCGGUCAAACGGGGCUCUGAGGCGGCGCGACACCCCCUUUACCUGCAAAGUUGGCAGGCUCCGGGCCGAGGCGAGGCCGGUCCCAGGACGCGUGGCGCGGGUGCUCCGCCGGGGACAGCACGCCCGGCCGAUUGCAGCGGGGUUUCCUCCGUCGCCGCCGAGUUGUGGAGCAUUCCAAGGAAAACGCCAGAGCUGGAGCCCACGCAGCUGGCACCGAACUGGGCGGAGUGAGGAUGCUCCGAGCCGCGCCGGGGGCGGCGGGGGAGGGGCGGCGCGGCGGGGGCGGCGAGCUCCGGCCCCCUCCGCGAUCCCUCGGGCUUACUACUCAUCUCCUGUGUUUAUCGCAAGCUCAGCCUUGACAUCGGUCCUAAAUUUUUAGGAUCAUCCCCUCCAAAAUACUGAAGUCCACUGAGGAAAACCUGGUUUCUACAACAUCUCUCCAGAAAACAAAGGCAAGAACAACAUCCGAAGGAUUCCCUUCUUUCCCGUAUCCCUUUUUUACUCUUGUCCACAAGAAAACAUUAACAUCUUUAAAUGUUUUGUUUAGUUUUCUUAAUAUCAAGUAAUGGCUUUUAUGAAAUAUGCAAGAACACAUCUAUCUGUACACAUGGUAAUGAACUUUAUAAUAAACACAAGUCUGCUUUCUAUUUAACA